AUUAGGGCUGGCAUCUCACCUUCAACCUUUGUUGAAUCUCUCAAAUCUUCGAUUAUCCCUAAUUUAUGUGAAUUGUCGCUCCUAAUGGAUCGAUUUAUGGGGUUUCCUUGAGGAGCAAUCGUCGGGCAUUUAUUUGACGAGGGAGGGGGAGGGAGCGGGAAGACAUGGCUCGGCAAAUGACGUCGUCCCAGUUUCACAAAUCAAAGACUCUCGACAACAAAUACAUGCUGGGAGAUGAAAUUGGGAAAGGAGCUUAUGGUCGAGUUUACAAAGGAUUAGACCUGGAAAAUGGGGACUUUGUGGCCAUUAAGCAAGUCUCGUUGGAGAAUAUUGCUCAGGAGGAUCUUAAUACAAUCAUGCUAGAAAUUGAUCUAUUGAAGAACUUGAACCAUAAAAACAUUGUGAAAUAUCUUGGAUCGUUGAAGACAAAGACACACCUUCAUAUUAUUCUGGAGUAUGUUGAGAAUGGCUCACUUGCAAACAUUAUCAAACCAAAUAAGUUUGGACCUUUCCCAGAAUCACUGGUAGCUGUAUACAUUGCCCAGGUCUUGGAAGGCUUGGUAUAUCUGCAUGAGCAGGGGGUGAUUCAUCGUGAUAUCAAGGGUGCAAACAUUUUGACAACCAAGGAGGGUCUUGUCAAGCUAGCUGACUUUGGAGUUGCAACUAAACUAAAUGAGGCUGAUGUCAACACUCAUUCGGUUGUAGGAACUCCAUACUGGAUGGCUCCCGAGGUCAUUGAAAUGUCAGGAGUUUGUGCCGCUUCUGACAUUUGGAGUGUUGGGUGCACGGUUAUCGAGCUUUUGACAUGUGUGCCACCAUACUAUGAUCUGCAACCCAUGCCAGCCCUCUUCCGCAUCGUUCAGGAUGAACGCCCUCCAAUACCUGAUAGCCUGUCUCCAGACAUUACCGACUUCCUGCGUCAAUGCUUUAAGAAGGAUGCCAGGCAGAGGUCUGAUGCUAAGACACUGCUCUCUCAUCCUUGGAUACGGAACUCUAGACGUGCGUUGCAGUCAUCGCUCCGCCAUAGUGGAACUAUUAGAUAUAUUCAGGAAGCUUCAGCAGAUUCAGAAAAUGCUGAUGAGGAUGGCCAAUGUGCAGCUGAAAACCUUCCUACCGAAAAAGUGGGGAUAUCAAAAUCUAAAUCGAAAAGCAAAUUGCUUCUGGAGGAGGUGGCAAGUUUGAGGUCUGACAAGGAUCGAUCCUUUCUCAGUGAUCUUGAUGAGGAAACACCAGAUAAUUCAGAAGAUGGUCUAAUGUCAGAUCAAGUUCCUACAUUUUCUAUUCUUCAGCAAUCUGCCAUUCAAUCAGGCUCUACCAUAGUCUUUUCAAACACAAAGAUGAGUUCUCAAGAUUUAUCAGAGUAUAAUGGGAAGUUUGACCAUGAUGAACCACAUGGAAAUGGUGUAGUGGAAGCGUCUGAAACAAUUAGAAAUCUUGUGGGGACAAAACAUAUGGGGAAAGAAAGUUCCUUCCCGGCUGAACAGACAUGGCAUGGGUUUGGACAAAAGGGCCAAGAUCGUGGCCUUCUGAAGGCUGUGAAGACUCCAUCAAAUGUUGGAGGGAAUGAACUGACUAGGUUUAGCGAUCCUCCUGGAGAUGCUUCUUUGGAUGAUUUGUUUCAUCCAUUGGUUAAAGGUACUGAUGGAAAAACAAAUGAAGCCUCAACAUCUGUACCCACAUCAAAUGCCAACCAAGGUGAUUCUCCUGCGGCUGAUGGUGGAAAAAACGACCUGGCCACAAAGUUGAGGGCUACAAUUGCUCAGAAACAUAUGGAGGGUGAAACAGGGCUGUCAAAUGAUGGUGGUGAUCUUUUCCGCUUGAUGAUGGGUGUUCUAAAGGAUGAUGUCAUCGACAUUGAUGGCUUGGUAUUUGAUGAAAAGUUGCCUGCGGAGAAUCUCUUUCCUCUGCAGGCAGUUGAGUUUAGCAAAUUGGUGAGCUGUUUAAGGCCAGAUGAAUCAGAAGAUGCAAUAGUAUCUGCCUGUCAGAAACUUAUCGGUAUUUUUCAUCAGAGGCCAGAGCAAAAAGCAGUUUUCGUGACACAGCAUGGUUUCCUUCCUCUAAUGGAUCUGCUCGAUAUUCCCAAAUCUUGUGUUAUAUGCUCUGUUCUGCAGCUGAUGAACGAAAUCAUUAAAGAUAACAAGGACUUCCAGGAAAAUGCUUGUCUUGUUGGCCUUAUUCCUGUUGUCAUGAGCUUUGCUGGUCCUGAUCGGGAUCGUCCGCGAGAAGUUCGUAGGGAAGCAGCUUAUUUCUUGCAGCAGCUUUGUCAAUCAAGCUCCUUGACGUUGCAAAUGUUUAUAGCUUGCCGGGGAAUACCCGUUUUGGUUGGAUUCCUUGAGGCUGAUUAUGCAAAAUACAGGGUGAUGGUUCAUUUAGCUAUUGAUGGGAUGUGGCAGGUAUUUAAGCUCCAGAGAUCAACCCUGAGAAAUGACUUCUGUCGUAUAGCUGCAAAGAAUGGAAUUCUUCUUAGGUUAAUCAACACUCUUUAUAGCUUGAAUGAGGCAACUCGACUGGCUUCUAUAUCAGGGGGAACACUGAUUGUGGAUGGUCAAGCUACACAUGCACGCUCUGGUCAACUUGAUCCUAAUCAUCCUAUUUUUAUUCAGAAUGAGAUAUCUCUCAGUGCUAUUGAUCAGCAGCCUGAUGCAUUGAAAACUAGGCAUGGAGGUGGUGAAGAUCCUUCCCGUGCUUCUACUUCACAGUCUCAAAGAUCAGAUGUCAAUCAACUUGAUCCCCGACACCUAGAUGGUGAGAGGCCGAGAUCAAGCAGUGUUGCACCAGAUGCUUCAAUUUCAGCCACAGAAUUUGAUGUUAGACAGCAGAGGAUAUCUCUCUCUGCCAAUAGGACAUCUACAGAUAGGCUUCAGAAGUUGGUGGAAGGUGCAUCUAAUGGUUUUACUAGUACGACAGCUUCUCAACCAGAACAAGUUCGACCUUUGCUUAGCUUGCUUGAGAAGGAACCUCCUUCAAGACAUUUUUCUGGUCAACUGGAUUAUGUAAAGCACAUCGCUGGUUUAGAGAGACAUGAAAACAUACUUCCCCUCUUGCAUGCAACAAAUGAGAAGAAAACUAAUGGAGAACUAGAUUUUCUGAUGGCUGAAUUUGCAGAGGUUUCUGGGCGUGGAAGAGAAAAUGGAAAUCUUGAUAAUGCAACUAGACAUUCCAGUAAAACGGUGACAAAGAAGGUUGCAGCUACUGAAGGAGCUGCUUCGACAUCUGAGAUUGUAUCUCAGACGGCAUCUGGUGUACUCUCGGGUUCAGGUGUUCUAAAUGCUAGACCUGGAAGCGCUACAUCAUCCGGUUUACUUGCCCACAUGGUUUCAACUCUGAAUUCAGACGUUGCAAGGGAAUAUUUGGAGAAAGUGGCCGACCUCCUCCUUGAAUUUGCUCGAGCAGAUACAACAGUAAAAUCAUACAUGUGUAGCCAAAGCUUGCUUAGUCGUCUUUUCCAGAUGUUCAACCGGGUAGAACCUCCUAUCCUUCUGAAGAUACUGAAAUGCAUCAAUCACUUAUCCACUGACCCAAAUUGCUUGGAGAAUCUUCAGCGAGCAGAUGCGAUUAAGCACUUGAUUCCCAACCUUGAGCUUAAGGAUGGCCCUCUCGUGUAUCAAAUCCAUCAUGAGGUGCUCAGUGCGUUAUUCAACCUGUGCAAAAUAAAUAAGAGGAGACAGGAACAAGCGGCUGAAAAUGGAAUCAUUCCUCACCUGAUGCAUUUUAUCAUGACAGAUUCUCCUCUGAAACAAUAUGCACUACCGCUGUUGUGUGAUAUGGCUCAUGCAUCCCGUAAUUCAAGAGAGCAAUUAAGGGCCCAUGGUGGUCUGGAUGUUUACUUGAGCUUGCUAGAUGAUGAAUUUUGGUCCGUGAUAGCCUUAGAUUCAAUUGCUGUUUGCUUGGCACACGACAACGACAACCGCAAGGGGGAACAGGCUUUGCUUAAAAAAGAUGCUAUCCAGAAACUGGUUAAAUUCUUCCAGAGCUGCCCAGAGAGACACUUUGUUCACAUAUUGGAGCCAUUCUUGAAGAUUAUCACGAAAUCAUCUCGAAUCAAUACGACCUUAGCUGUAAAUGGGUUGACUCCAUUACUUAUCUCAAGGCUGGACCACCAAGAUGCUAUUGCUCGGCUUAAUCUCUUGAAACUUAUCAAGGCUGUUUAUGAGCAUCAUCCACGGCCAAAACAACUAAUAGUCGAGAACGACCUCCCUCAGAAACUGAAAAACCUAAUAGAGGAACGGCGAGAUGGACAACGGUCAGGAGGACAAGUUCUAGUAAAACAAAUGGCCACUUCGCUCCUCAAAGCCCUUCACAUUAACACAGUCUUGUGAAAAUCCAUCCUUGUCCAUUACCAAAUAUCUCACCUGAGUUCGUAUUUAUUCAAUUUUUUUCCAGGAAGAUUCCCCUCCCCGAUGAUUGGUUCCCGGGCAUCGUCCCUUUUGUGUCAACUGUAUAUUUCUUUUUCUUUUUCCGACUUUGAAGGAUGCGUGCCUUCACCAGAAGACUUUGGAGGUUGAAACUUAAAAAGAUUUGGGGUGGAAGUGGUUGUUUGGUGGCUUUCUUGUUUUUAGGCCCUCAAGAGCUGCCAACACAACUCAGGUCACAAAGAGGAGAUAAAGAAACAUUUGGAAAGAACCGAGGAAGAAAGCAAAAGGAGGAAGCCACUUUUCUAAGGCUUAAGGUAUGGAUUGGACUCAUCCUGCUUCUUCCCAUUUUGCCUUUUCUUGCAUCUCACAUGCAUAGGCAUAUUCUUGUCUGAUUAGUUUCAUACACUCACCACUAUAUAACCCUCUUUUAUCUUUUAUUUUUUGUCCAAAAGUUUGGUUGGAUGAAGAAAAAAAGGAAAUGGUAAUCUCAGUAUGUGGUUUGGUUUUGGUUUUGAAUGUUCAUAUACAUGUAUAUAGGCUGCUUAAUCUGAUUUCCAUAUUGAUUUUACAUUGUAUGAUUAGUUCAAUUAAGAUUCCAACUAUUUUUUUC